CAUGGGGACCACCUUCUCCUCCAGCACCGAGGAACAUGAUGUUGAAGGCAAGAAGAGGAGUUAGCAGUAGAUACUCCUCUCUUCCCGCUCAGUGCACUUUGUCCAGAACCCUAAUGACGCAACAGGGGGGUACACUCUGUAAAUGGUCAGAAUGAAAUCAGAUCUGGGUG